CUUUUAGUUCACUUGAGAAACCUAUUAUUUUUUUCUAAACCAAAUCCUAAUUUUAGAUGAAAAGGAAUUCAUAAAUUGAUUCUCUCCUCUUGUGAUUGCAGUUACCACUGGGAUAACUACUGGCACAACCAUUGUAUCUGGGAGUUCCAACACAAAGGCUACAACUUCUACAGGCAUUGGAGUUGCCACUGGAGUUGGAAUGGCAACUGGGAUCACCAACAUAAUUUCAGGGAGAAGCCAACCUACUGAAAGUAAAACAGGUGAGCAUGGGGAAUUGAAAAAGGUGAGGAUGGGAAAGGCCCUCGUUCAUGAUGCUAACUUGGAAAAGAAAGAUCCCAGAGGACUGAAGCUAACCAAAAUGAACACUAUAAAAUGGGGAAAACCAUGUUUAGUUUACCUCUUGGGAAAGGAAUCCUGGAGAAGGAAUGCAUUGUCUCACAGAAACACAUGGAUUUGUUCUAAACCAUGAUUUCUAUCCUAUCACACACUGCUCAUAUUACCCCCUCUUCCUUCUCCCUCUCAUCCAAGGCUACACUGUGACAGGCUCUGGGACAACAGCCUUACCUGGAGGUUUCAGAACAGGUAAGUCAAGUAGUGAAAGGAAUUCUCCUUUAAAUGGCUCUCAGUUAGCAGUGUAAUUGGAUUGUUUGUAGCUCAAUGGAUGGAUACCCCAUUCUUAAUGAUGUUCUUAUUUCACAUUGCGUGCCUGUAUCAAAACAUCUCAUGUACCCCAUAAGUAUAUAUAUCUACUAUGUAUGCACAAAAAUUAAAAACAUUAAUAAAAC
rnacentral:lncRNA from 10 species